CUGAAAACAUAAUACAUUCUAUGGAGUUCAGGGUGGCCGAGACACAUGGUAGGGUAUUGAUAACUCCAGCUGUAAACAUAAAACAUUAAAACGCAACUUUAUUAACAUAAAAGAUUACAUUGUAAAUGCACGACACGUAUACACAAUGACGGUGCAUCAACCAUUCACAUAUUGAAAUGCUAUCGGUGAGCGAGCACACGCUUAUCUGAAACUACCCAUCGGUUGGGUCGAUUCUACCCGGAUUUUCAUGUUAUUAGCAGUUGUCAGAAUCCGGGUAACCGGUCUCACAUGGAAAGAGUAAGCUUUACCCUGAUUCUGGGUAAACGAGUCUUUGUGAAAAUUUCGAAACCCAAAUUAUCAUGUUGUAUGGCGUUGUCAAAAUCUGGGUAAUCAUUUGGGUAAAUGGGACUUGGCAAAAUUUUUACAUUGGCACGGCAUAAAAUCCAAAAAAAAUGUCGGAGAUCUUCUGGAAGUUUUUGAUGGCAAAAUCUACCAACUGGUGGCUGGCACUCACUGACGGCUGCAACAACGUUGACCAAGUAUCCCGAUGCAGACGGAUCAAACACUUGAUGCUUCCUUGGUUGCUUCCCUUCUGCAAUGGCCACAAGAUGUGGCCAGCUUAAGAAAAACCUACAUGCAGAUCCACCUACUAUUACACAUGAAGCGAGAGCAUCUGGAGCAUCUUCAUCAUCGAGUUCAUCAUGAAAAGAGCCGUUCUUGCAAAGAAUUCCUUCAUAGAUAUUACUAUUUUAUUGUUUAUAGCAGAAUUGAGACAAAUAAAUCUUAUGUGUUUUAUUUAUCUUGUUAUUGUUUUGUUCGACAAAACAAAAAUGUUGGGCGGCAUUCGUAUACUGUCCGCUCACCCAUUUAUAUAAAAAUGGGUAAUGGUUACCCUGAUUAGGAACGUCAAAAUCAGGGUAUCCUUUACCCAGAUUUGGCAACUAACAUCGGUUACCCAGAUUUGAGUAAAGGUACCUUUACCCACUUUAGAGUAACUGCAGUUUUGCUCAAUCUGGGUCACUUUGACACCAAUCUGGGUAGCUGAGGGUUAGCGUGCAGUGGCGAGAGUCGAGAUAAUGUGCAGUGGUUCUCAACAUCUCCCCCUCUAAAUGGUUGCGGUGUAAACCAUAACAGCGGUCUUCGAACGUAGGAAGAGCGAUGAUGGUGGACGUUGUUGGUAGCGUGGUCGAUGAUCAUUUUGACAAGAACUGUUGUUUGAUUAUCGGAGCUUGAUCCUGGUUCCACCAUGGUUGACUAUCCACUCUAAGAUGUCGCUGUAUACCAAUGCGCGUCCACUUGCUGAUCCCAUCCUCGUCGCCACUGUUACAUCCUGAAGUUCAGGGUGGCCGAGACACAUAGUAGUGUAUUGAUAACUCCAGGUGUAAAUAUAAAACAUUAAAACGCAACUUUAUUAACAUAAAAGAUUACAUUGUAAAGGCGCGACACGUAUACACAAUGACGGUUACAGAACUUCUAAAUCUAAUGUCUGCUUUUGUGCAUCAACCGUUCACAUAUUGAAAUACUAUCGGUGAGUGAGCAGAGUGGCGAAAGUCGAGAUAAUGUGCAGUGGUUCUCAACAAAUUCCAAGAUGACCACCACAAUGGUUAACUUUUGCAACUACUCAUGAUUGUACGCAUACAAAUCUCAAAAUAAACUAAAGCAGCGCAUCGGAUUAUCUUAUUUUAAGCUUACUACAAGUGAGCAAGAACAAAAUAAAAAUUACACUAUAGUAGGAUCUUAACUUUGAGCAUCUGAGUUCCAAAUGC